GAUGAACGCUGGCGGCGUGCUUAACACAUGCAAGUCGAACGAAGCAUUUAAGACAGAUUACUUCGGUUUGAAGUCUUUUAUGACUGAGUGGCGGACGGGUGAGUAACGCGUGGGUAACCUGCCUCAUACAGGGGGAUAGCAGCUGGAAACGGCUGGUAAUACCGCAUAAGCGCACAGUACCACAUGGUACAGUGUGAAAAACUCCGGUGGUAUGAGAUGGACCCGCGUCUGAUUAGCUUGUUGGCGGGGUAACGGCCCACCAAGGCGACGAUCAGUAGCCGACCUGAGAGGGUGACCGGCCACAUUGGGACUGAGACACGGCCCAGACUCCUACGGGAGGCAGCAGUGGGGAAUAUUGCACAAUGGAGGAAACUCUGAUGCAGCGACGCCGCGUGAGUGAAGAAGUAGUUCGCCAUGUAAAGCUCUAUCAGCAGGGAAGAUAGUGACGGUACCUGACUAAGAAGCUCCGGCUAAAUACGUG
rnacentral:rRNA from 1 species